CAUUGGUGCUUGCACCAGAUGACGAGUGGCGCACGGGUGCGUAACGCGUAUGCAAUCUACCUUUUACUAGAGUAUAGCCCAGAGAAAUUUGGAAUAAUCCUCUAUAAUAUCUUUAAGUUUCAUGACUUUUAGAUUAAAGUUUUAACGGUAAAAGAUGAGCAUGCGUCCUAUUAGUUUGUAGGUGAGGUAACGGCUCACCUAGACUACGAUAGGUAGGGGCCCUGAGAGGGGGAUCCCCCACACUGGUACUGAGACACGGACCAGACUCCUACGGGAGGCAGCAGUAAGGAAUAUUGGACAAUGGACGAAAGUCUGAUCCAGCCAUGCCGCGUGCAGGAUGAAAGCCCUAUGGGUUGUAAACUGCUUUUAUACAGGAAGAAACACUCGUACGUGUACGAGCUUGACGGUACUGUAAGAAUAAGGACCGGCUAACUCCGUGCCAGCAGCCGCGGUAAUACGGAGGGUCCGAGCGUUAUCCGGAAUCAUUGGGUUUAAAGGGUCCGCAGGCGGUCUUUUAAGUCAGAGGUGAAAGCCUACAGCUCAACUGUAGAACGGCCUUUGAUACUGAAAGACUUGAGUUAUUAUGAAGUGGUUAGAAUGUGUGGUGUAGCGGUGAAAUGCAUAGAUAUCACACAGAAUACCGAUUGCGAAGGCAGAUCACUAAUAAUAUACUGACGCUCAUGGACGAAAGCGUGGGGAGCGAACAGGAUUAGAUACCCUGGUAGUCCACGCCGUAAACGAUGGAUACUAGCUGUUCGUCUAACAUUGGUUAGAUGAGUGGCUAAGCGAAAGUGAUAA
rnacentral:rRNA from 1 species